GGGGAUGGCUCCGCGGCCCAUCAGGUAGACGGCGGGGUGACGGCCCACCGUGCCGACAACGGGUAGCCGGGUUGAGAGACCGACCGGCCAGAUUGGAACUGAGACACGGUCCAGACACCUACGGGUGGCAGCAGUCGAGAAUCAUUCACAAUGGGGGAAACCCUGAUGGUGCGACGCCGCGUGGGGGAAUGAAGGUCUUCGGAUUGUAAACCCCUGUCAUGUGGGAGCAAAUUAAAAAGAUAGUACCACAAGAGGAAGAGACGGCUAACUCUGUGCCAGCAGCCGCGGUAAUACAGAGGUCUCAAGCGUUGUUCGGAAUCACUGGGCGUAAAGCGUGCGUAGGCGGUUUCGUAAGUCGUGUGUGAAAGGCGGGGGCUCAACCCCCGGACUGCACAUGAUACUGCGAGACUAGAGUAAUGGAGGGGGAACCGGAAUUCUCGGUGUAGCAGUGAAAUGCGUAGAUAUCGAGAGGAACACUCGUGGCGAAGGCGGGUUCCUGGACAUUAACUGACGCUGAGGCACGAAGGCCAGGGGAGCGAAAGGGAUUAGAUACCCCUGUAGUCCUGGCAGUAAACGGUGCACGCUUGGUGUGCGGGGAAUCGACCCCCUGCGUGCCGGAGCUAACGCGUUAAGCGUGCCGCCUGGGGAGUACGGUCGCAAGAUUAAAACUCAAAGAAAUUGACGGGGACCCGCACAAGCGGUGGAGUAUGUGGCUUAAUUCGAUGCAACGCGAAGAACCUUACCUGGGCUUGACAUGUAAUGAACAACAUGUGAAAGCAUGCGACUCUUCGGAGGCGUUACACAGGUGCUGCAUGGCCGUCGUCAGCUCGUGUCGUGAGAUGUUUGGUUAAGUCCAGCAACGAGCGCAACCCCUGUUGCCAGUUACCAGCACGUAAAGGUGGGGACUCUGGCGAGACUGCCCAGAUCAACUGGGAGGAAGGUGGGGACGACGUCAGGUCAGUAUGGCCCUUAUGCCCAGGGCUGCACACGUACUACAAUGCCCAGUACAGAGGGGGCCGAAGCCGCGAGGCGGAGGAAAUCCUAAAAACUGGGCCCAGUUCGGACUGUAGGCUGCAACCCGCCUACACGAAGCCGGAAUCGCUAGUAAUGGCGCAUCAGCUACGGCGCCGUGAAUACGUUCCCGGGUCUUGCACUCACCGCCCGUCA
rnacentral:rRNA from 1 species